UACGUAGGGGGCAAGCGUUGUCCGGAAUCAUUGGGCGUAAAGAGCGCGUAGGCGGUCCGGUAAGUCCGCUCUGAAAGUCCGGGGCUCAAUCCCGGGAGGCGGGCGGAUACUGUCGGGCUAGAGUCCGGAAGAGGCGAGUGGAAUUCCUGGUGUAGCGGUGAAAUGCGCAGAUAUCAGGAGGAACACCAAUGGCGAAGGCAGCUCGCUGGGAUGGUACUGACGCUGGGGCGCGAAAGCGUGGGAGCAAACAGG
rnacentral:rRNA from 1 species